CGGCAAAUGUGCUUGUAUCCAGGUGAAGAAGUAAAACCACCAAAGCAACUGCUUAAUAUUAUCACUAAUUUAAGGAGGAAUUGAGUAGUUCAUUACUUGCCUCUUCGCUAUGAGCCAUCCAAAAAUUACUAUCGACUACUUUUCAUUGUUGGAUUCAUUUUUUGCUUCUUUCUAUUGAACUCAAAAAGAAAAACUAAUUGUAUAGCUUUCAAUUAUUUGGUCCAUCAACUAUCUAGAAAUUCU
rnacentral:lncRNA from 1 species